GAAAGCAUUGAUGCCAUCAUUGAUAAACAGGGCUCCACCAUAUUUUCAGAAAUACAAGGAACUAUUGACUGCAACUGUAAAUUAUCUGGCAUGCCUGGUAUACUUUG